rnacentral:rRNA from 1 species
UACGAAGGGGGCUAGCGUUGCUCGGAAUUACUGGGCGUAAAGGGCGCGUAGGCGGCUCUGUUAGUCAGGCGUGAAAGCCCUGGGCUCAACCUGGGGACUGCGCUUGAUACGGCGGGGCUUGAGGGCAGGAGAGGCUCGCGGAAUUCCCAGUGUAGAGGUGAAAUUCGUAGAUAUUCGCAAGAACACCAGUGGCGAAGGCGGCUCACUGGCCCGGUACUGACGCUGAGGUGCGAAAGCGUGGGGAGCAAACAGG